UUAAGCGACUAAGCGUACACGGUGGAUGCCCUGGCAGUCAGAGGCGAUGAAGGACGUGCUAAUCUGCGAUAAGCGUCGGUAAGGUGAUAUGAACCGUUAUAACCGGCGAUUUCCGAAUGGGGAAACCCAGUGUGUUUCGACACACUAUCAUUAACUGAAUCCAUAGGUUAAUGAGGCGAACCGGGGGAACUGAAACAUCUAAGUACCCCGAGGAAAAGAAAUCAACCGAGAUUCCCCCAGUAGCGGCGAGCGAACGGGGAGCAGCCCAGAGCCUGAAUCAGUGUGUGUGUUAGUGGAAGCGUCUGGAAAGGCGCGCGAUACAGGGUGACAGCCCCGUACACAAAAAUGCACAUAUUGUGAGCUCGAUGAGUAGGGCGGGACACGUGGUAUCCUGUCUGAAUAUGGGGGGACCAUCCUCCAAGGCUAAAUACUCCUGACUGACCGAUAGUGAACCAGUACCGUGAGGGAAAGGCGAAAAGAACCCCGGCGAGGGGAGUGAAAAAGAACCUGAAACCGUGUACGUACAAGCAGUGGGAGCACGCUUAGGCGUGUGACUGCGUACCUUUUGUAUAAUGGGUCAGCGACUUAUAUUCUGUAGCAAGGUUAACCGAAUAGGGGAGCCGAAGGGAAACCGAGUCUUAACUGGGCGUUAAGUUGCAGGGUAUAGACCCGAAACCCGGUGAUCUAGCCAUGGGCAGGUUGAAGGUUGGGUAACACUAACUGGAGGACCGAACCGACUAAUGUUGAAAAAUUAGCGGAUGACUUGUGGCUGGGGGUGAAAGGCCAAUCAAACCGGGAGAUAGCUGGUUCUCCCCGAAAGCUAUUUAGGUAGCGCCUCGUGAAUUCAUCUCCGGGGGUAGAGCACUGUUUCGGCAAGGGGGUCAUCCCGACUUACCAACCCGAUGCAAACUGCGAAUACCGGAGAAUGUUAUCACGGGAGACACACGGCGGGUGCUAACGUCCGUCGUGAAGAGGGAAACAACCCAGACCGCCAGCUAAGGUCCCAAAGUCAUGGUUAAGUGGGAAACGAUGUGGGAAGGCCCAGACAGCCAGGAUGUUGGCUUAGAAGCAGCCAUCAUUUAAAGAAAGCGUAAUAGCUCACUGGUCGAGUCGGCCUGCGCGGAAGAUGUAACGGGGCUAAACCAUGCACCGAAGCUGCGGCAGCGACGCUGAUGCGUUGUUGGGUAGGGGAGCGUUCUGUAAGCCUGCGAAGGUGUGCUGUGAGGCAUGCUGGAGGUAUCAGAAGUGCGAAUGCUGACAUAAGUAACGAUAAAGCGGGUGAAAAGCCCGCUCGCCGGAAGACCAAGGGUUCCUGUCCAACGUUAAUCGGGGCAGGGUGAGUCGACCCCUAAGGCGAGGCCGAAAGGCGUAGUCGAUGGGAAACAGGUUAAUAUUCCUGUACUUGGUGUUACUGCGAAGGGGGGACGGAGAAGGCUAUGUUGGCCGGGCGACGGUUGUCCCGGUUUAAGCGUGUAGGCUGGUUUUCCAGGCAAAUCCGGAAAAUCAAGGCUGAGGCGUGAUGACGAGGCACUACGGUGCUGAAGCAACAAAUGCCCUGCUUCCAGGAAAAGCCUCUAAGCAUCAGGUAACAUCAAAUCGUACCCCAAACCGACACAGGUGGUCAGGUAGAGAAUACCAAGGCGCUUGAGAGAACUCGGGUGAAGGAACUAGGCAAAAUGGUGCCGUAACUUCGGGAGAAGGCACGCUGAUAUGUAGGUGAAGUCCCUUGCGGAUGGAGCUGAAAUCAGUCGAAGAUACCAGCUGGCUGCAACUGUUUAUUAAAAACACAGCACUGUGCAAACACGAAAGUGGACGUAUACGGUGUGACGCCUGCCCGGUGCCGGAAGGUUAAUUGAUGGGGUCAGCGCAAGCGAAGCUCUUGAUCGAAGCCCCGGUAAACGGCGGCCGUAACUAUAACGGUCCUAAGGUAGCGAAAUUCCUUGUCGGGUAAGUUCCGACCUGCACGAAUGGCGUAAUGAUGGCCAGGCUGUCUCCACCCGAGACUCAGUGAAAUUGAACUCGCUGUGAAGAUGCAGUGUACCCGCGGCAAGACGGAAAGACCCCGUGAACCUUUACUAUAGCUUGACACUGAACAUUGAGCCUUGAUGUGUAGGAUAGGUGGGAGGCUUUGAAGUGUGGACGCCAGUCUGCAUGGAGCCGACCUUGAAAUACCACCCUUUAAUGUUUGAUGUUCUAACGUUGACCCGUAAUCCGGGUUGCGGACAGUGUCUGGUGGGUAGUUUGACUGGGGCGGUCUCCUCCUAAAGAGUAACGGAGGAGCACGAAGGUUGGCUAAUCCUGGUCGGACAUCAGGAGGUUAGUGCAAUGGCAUAAGCCAGCUUGACUGCGAGCGUGACGGCGCGAGCAGGUGCGAAAGCAGGUCAUAGUGAUCCGGUGGUUCUGAAUGGAAGGGCCAUCGCUCAACGGAUAAAAGGUACUCCGGGGAUAACAGGCUGAUACCGCCCAAGAGUUCAUAUCGACGGCGGUGUUUGGCACCUCGAUGUCGGCUCAUCACAUCCUGGGGCUGAAGUAGGUCCCAAGGGUAUGGCUGUUCGCCAUUUAAAGUGGUACGCGAGCUGGGUUUAGAACGUCGUGAGACAGUUCGGUCCCUAUCUGCCGUGGGCGCUGGAGAACUGAGGGGGGCUGCUCCUAGUACGAGAGGACCGGAGUGGACGCAUCACUGGUGUUCGGGUUGUCAUGCCAAUGGCACUGCCCGGUAGCUAAAUGCGGAAGAGAUAAGUGCUGAAAGCAUCUAAGCACGAAACUUGCCCCGAGAUGAGUUCUCCCUGACUCCUUGAGAGUCCUGAAGGAACGUUGAAGACGACGACGUUGAUAGGCCGGGUGUGUAAGCGCAGCGAUGCGUUGAGCUAACCGGUACUAAUGAACCGUGAGGCUUAACCUU
rnacentral:rRNA from 1 species